GACGAACGCUGGCGGCGUGCUUAACACAUGCAAGUCGAACGAAGAGCGAUGGAAGCUUGCUUCUAUCAAUCUUAGUGGCGAACGGGUGAGUAACGCGUAAUCAACCUGCCCUUCAGAGGGGGACAACAGUUGGAAACGACUGCUAAUACCGCAUACGAUCCAAUCUCGGCAUCGGGACUGGAUGAAAGGUGGCCUCUAUUUAUAAGCUAUCACUGAAGGAGGGGAUUGCGUCUGAUUAGCUAGUUGGAGGGGUAACGGCCCACCAAGGCGAUGAUCAGUAGACGGUCUGAGAGGAUGAACGGCCACAUUGGGACUGAGACACGGCCCAGACUCCUACGGGAGGCAGCAGUGGGGAAUCUUCCGCAAUGGACGAAAGUCUGACGGAGCAACGCCGCGUGAGUGAUGACGGCCUUCGGGUUGUAAAGCUCUGUUAAUCGGGACGAAUGGUUCUUGUGCGAAUAGUGCGAGGAUUUGACGGUACCGGAAUAGAAAGCCACGGCUAACUACGUG
rnacentral:rRNA from 1 species